UAAACUAAGUAAUUUGACGGUAAUUAUUUCAUAAAGGAGCUUGUAAUUUAAUCGACACUACACGUAUACCUUACUUAGAUUUUUAUUUUGUAUACCUCCGUUUAGAUUCUAUUUUAAAUUUAAAAUAUUCUCUUAAUAAUACAAUUUUAUACAUCAGGUCAAGGCACAGAAUAUAUAAGUUAUUAUGCGCUACAUUAAAUAAUUAAAUUUGAAUUAUAUUUGAAAAAUAUAUAUGAAACUGAAUUUAUAAGUAAAAUAAUAUAAUAUAUUUAUUUGAAAAUAAAAUAUUUAUGUACACAU
rnacentral:rRNA from 1 species